rnacentral:rRNA from 1 species
UUGGAGGGCAAGUCUGGUGCCAGCAGCCGCGGUAAUUCCAGCUCCAAUAGCGUAUAUUAAAGUUGUUGCAGUUAAAAAGCUCGUAGUUGAAUUUCGGGAUCAGUACGCUGGUCGUGCCUCCGGUACGUACUGGUGUCACUGAUUCCUCCCUUCUGAAGAACCAUCAUGCUAUUAAUUUAGUGUGGUGGGAAAUCAGGACUGUUACUUUGAAAAAAUUAGAGUGUUUAAAGCAGGCUCACGCUUGAAUACAUUAGCAUGGAAUAAUGAAAUAGGACGUUGAUCCUAUUUUGUUGGUUUCUAGGAUUGACGUAAUGAUUAAUAGGGAUAGUUGGGGGCAUUAGUAUUCAAUUGUCAGAGGUGAAAUUCUUGGAUUUAUUGAAGACUAACUACUGCGAAAGCAUUUGCCAAGGAUGUUUUCAUUAAUCAAGAACGAAAGUUAGGGGAUCGAAGACGAUCAGAUACCGUCGUAGUCUUAACCAUAAACUAUGCCGACUAGGGAUCGGAUGAUGUUAAUUUUUUAAUGACUCAUUCGGCGCCUUACGGGAAAC